rnacentral:rRNA from 1 species
AUUGAACGCUGGCGGCGUGCUUAACACAUGCAAGUCGAGCGAGAAAGCUCUCUUCGGAGAGUGAGUAGAGCGGCGCACGGGUGAGUAACGCGUGGGUAAUCUGCCCUGAAGAUCGGGAUAACAGUUGGAAACGACUGCUAAUACCGGAUGUCCUGCAUAUUUAACUUUAUGUGGAAAAGAUGGCCUCUAUUUAUAAGCUAUUGCUUCAGGAUGAGCCCGCGUCUCAUUAGAUUGUUGGUGGGGUAACGCCUACAAGUCGACGAUGAGUAGCUGGUCUGAGAGGAUGAUCAGCCACACUGGGACUGAAACACGGCCCAGACUCCUACGGGAGCAGCAGUGGGGAAUCUUAGACAAUGGGGCAACCCUGAUCUAGCCAUGCCGCGUGAGUGACGAA